AGGGCGCACGGUGGAUGCCUUGGCACUAGAAGCCGAUGAAGGACGUUACUAACGACGAUAUGCUUUGGGGAGCUGUAAGUAAGCUUUGAUCCAGAGAUUUCCGAAUGGGGAAACCCAGCAUGAGUUAUGUCAUGUUAUCGAUAUGUGAAUACAUAGCAUAUCAGAAGCCACACCCGGAGAACUGAAACAUCUUAGUACCCGGAGGAAGAGAAAGAAAAUUCGAUUCCCUUAGUAGCGGCGAGCGAAACGGGAAGAGCCCAAACCAACAAGCUUGCUUGUUGGGGUUGUAGGACACUCUAUACGGAGUUACAAAGGACGACAUUAGACGAAUCAUCUGGAAAGAUGAAUCAAAGAAGGUAAUAAUCCUGUAGUCGAAAAUGUUGUCUCUCUUGAGUGGAUCCUGAGUACGACGGAGCACGUGAAAUUCCGUCGGAAUCUGGGAGGACCAUCUACUAAGGCUAAAUACUCUCUAGUGACCGAUAGUGAACCAGUACCGUGAGGGAAAGGUGAAAAGCACCCCGGAAGGGGAGUGAAAUAGAACCUGAAACCGUGUGCUUACAAGUAGUCAGAGCCCGUUAAUGGGUGAUGGCGUGCCUUUUGUAGAAUGAACCGGCGAGUUACGAUUUGAUGCAAGGUUAAGCAGUAAAUGUGGAGCCGUAGCGAAAGCGAGUCUGAAUAGGGCGUUUAGUAUUUGGUCGUAGACCCGAAGCCAGGUGAUCUACCCUUGGUCAGGUUGAAGUUCAGGUAACACUGAAUGGAGGACCGAACCGACUUACGUUGAAAAGUGAGCGGAUGAACUGAGGGUAGCGGAGAAAUUCCAAUCGAACCUGGAGAUAGCUGGUUCUCUCCGAAAUAGCUUUAGGGCUAGCCUCAAGUGAUGAUUAUUGGAGGUAGAGCACUGUUUGGACGAGGGGCCCCUCUCGGGUUACCGAAUUCAGACAAACUCCGAAUGCCAAUUAAUUUAACUUGGGAGUCAGAACAUGGGUGAUAAGGUCCGUGUUCGAAAGGGAAACAGCCCAGACCACCAGCUAAGGUCCCAAAAUAUAUGUUAAGUGGAAAAGGAUGUGGCGUUGCCCAGACAACUAGGAUGUUGGCUUAGAAGCAGCCAUCAUUUAAAGAGUGCGUAAUAGCUCACUAGUCGAGUGACACUGCGCCGAAAAUGUACCGGGGCUAAACAUAUUACCGAAGCUGUGGAUUGUCCUUUGGACAAUGGUAGGAGAGCGUUCUAAGGGCGUUGAAGCAUGAUCGCAAGGACAUGUGGAGCGCUUAGAAGUGAGAAUGCCGGUGUGAGUAGCGAAAGACGGGUGAGAAUCCCGUCCACCGAUUGACUAAGGUUUCCAGAGGAAGGCUCGUCCGCUCUGGGUUAGUCGGGUCCUAAGCUGAGGCCGACAGGCGUAGGCGAUGGAUAACAGGUUGAUAUUCCUGUACCACCUAUAAUCGUUUUAAUCGAUGGGGGACGCAGUAGGAUAGGCGAAGCGUGCGAUUGGAUUGCACGUCUAAGCAGUAAGGCUGAGUAUUAGGCAAAUCCGGUACUCGUUAAGGCUGAGCUGUGAUGGGGAGAAGACAUUGUGUCUUCGAGUCGUUGAUUUCACACUGCCGAGAAAAGCCUCUAGAUAGAAAAUAGGUGCCCGUACCGCAAACCGACACAGGUAGUCAAGAUGAGAAUUCUAAGGUGAGCGAGCGAACUCUCGUUAAGGAACUCGGCAAAAUGACCCCGUAACUUCGGGAGAAGGGGUGCUCUUUAGGGUUAACGCCCAGAAGAGCCGCAGUGAAUAGGCCCAAGCGACUGUUUAUCAAAAACACAGGUCUCUGCUAAACCGUAAGGUGAUGUAUAGGGGCUGACGCCUGCCCGGUGCUGGAAGGUUAAGAGGAGUGGUUAGCUUCUGCGAAGCUACGAAUCGAAGCCCCAGUAAACGGCGGCCGUAACUAUAACGGUCCUAAGGUAGCGAAAUUCCUUGUCGGGUAAGUUCCGACCCGCACGAAAGGCGUAACGAUUGGGCACUGUCUCAACGAGAGACUCGGUGAAAUCAUAGUACCUGUGAAGAUGCAGGUUACCCGCGACAGGACGGAAAGACCCCGUGGAGCUUUACUGUAGCCUGAUAUUGAAAUUCGGCACAGCUUGUACAGGAUAGGUAGGAGCCUUUGAAACGUGAGCGCUAGCUUACGUGGAGGCGCUGGUGGGAUACUACCCUAGCUGUGUUGGCUUUCUAACCCGCACCACUUAUCGUGGUGGGAGACAGUGUCAGGCGGGCAGUUUGACUGGGGCGGUCGCCUCCUAAAAGGUAACGGAGGCGCUCAAAGGUUCCCUCAGAAUGGUUGGAAAUCAUUCAUAG
rnacentral:rRNA from 1 species